UUGCUCUUUAUUCGAUUUUCGAAUCGAGCUUCUAGGUCUCGGAAACUUGACUUCAAAAUUUAGAGCAUCAAAUUUGUGUUUCCAAUAAAUCAAUCGAUCAAUAAAAAUGAGCACAGCGACCACGAUCAU
ensembl:ncRNA F36G9.18 ncRNA